rnacentral:rRNA from 1 species
UACGUAGGGCGCAAGCGUUGUCCGGAAUUAUUGGGCGUAAAGAGCUCGUAGGCGGCUUGUCACGUCGGGUGUGAAAGCCCGGGGCUUAACCCCGGGUCUGCAUUCGAUACGGGCUAGCUAGAGUGUGGUAGGGGAGAUCGGAAUUCCUGGUGUAGCGGUGAAAUGCGCAGAUAUCAGGAGGAACACCGGUGGCGAAGGCGGCAUCCUGGACCAUUACUGACGCUGAUCCGCGAAAGCUAGGGGAGCAAACGGG